GCCUCACAAUUCUAUAAGAGAGGAGGAAGAAGAAUCGUCAGACUAAUGGGUUUGGGAAGUAUUCACUAUUGUGAUCUUCUAAGCUCCAUAUUUCUCACUCUUCUGGAUAGGUCAUCUACAGGGAAAAUAUUUCAGUGGUCCAUUAGGACAGAUUCUUUCUUACAAGUCAAUAAGGAUUGUGUUUCCAUCUCCAUCUGACAUACUUUCAUCUUCCAUAUUGUUUGGAAGUAGUAUAGGAAAGAUAAGGGCUAUCAUAGUAUUGUUUCCGUAGCUUCCGAUAUCUUUAUCUUACAUGGAGAGCUAGCUAUGGACAAUAGCCCUACAAGAACAAAUCUCAUUAAGACAAACAUUGACAGGAAUAGAGGAGGGAUAUGUUAAUGCUAAGUGACCCAGUGCGUUGCCAUAGGAACAACAAUGAUCUAAUAUUUAUUAAGAGCUACCUUUGUGAGAAGAAUUGCUUAAAAUACUGUAACUUUAGAAAUCUAUUUGUUUCCAUGAUAACCAUGUUAUAGAGAUGAAACUGAAACACGGGAAAAGUGAAUGACUUACAAAAAUUCUGCUAGAAUUGUGGUACAAGGAAAUGGAUCCAGAAAUUCUUGCUGUAGUAUGUUAUGUACAAUCACUGUGCUAUAAAACUAGAAGCCAUUAAGAGUAAAAGAAAGAGCCUGAAUACAAGGAACAGACGCAGGAUAAACCACCCCAAGUUUCUGUGGUAAACUUCCAAGGUUGUCCUACUCAGAUGGACUGUCUAAAAUCUCCGUAAAAUAACCAGGUGAUUACCAUUGAUGUGAGCUGAUUCACUGGGAGACUGGAAAAUGAUAGGGAACGUGAUAAUGAGUUUAAAAAUCUCUCUCCACUCAUCCUUGUUUUACAUAUUUAUAAUAUGCACAGCACAGGUCUCAGGAUGCCUAAGAUGACUGAUUUUUUCAUAAAGAGAACUUGUCAGGCUGAUUAGCUGAGAAAGGCUCUCUUGACUGUUCAGCUGAGAAAAAUUGAAGAAAUUUUCUUUGAUCCUGGAGGAUAUCGUAAUGGCCUGCUAUGAUAUGAAUGUGCCUCCCCACUGCCCCAUAAUUCAGACAUGACCAGCAUAAUAAUUUAAAAAGAAAUGGCUUUUUUUUAAAGGUGAUUGGACCAUGAGUCCAUUCGAUACAUCAAGGAGAUUAGACAUCCUCACCCUUAAUGUUUUCAUCAAGAAAGAAAUUCCAUAUUUUGCCUUCUGUCUUCUACCAUUUAAAGAGGACAUAGCAAUAAUACCCUCAUUAGAUAUUAGUAUCUUGAUUUUUGACAUUUUAGUUAUAAUUAGUGUAUGAAAUAAGUCUGCAUGCUUGAUACAUGACUGAGUUGGUGGUCUAUUGUUUUAGUGUCAGAGACAAGAAGGAAAUUGCCACGAGAGAACUGGAGUGUUUAUGUAACACAUCCUGAGGAUGUGCAUGUGAUUGCAGAGUGAAGUAUUGGGUAGAGGCUAAGGGAAGUCCUUUGUUUUCGGGUAGAUUACUGAGAAUGAGUACUUAUAAAACAAAAAGGUAUAAAGAAUGCCCUUCUUUAUUAGAUUACUUGAGUGCCAAUAAACAGCAUGUUAGUGGAAAUAUGACCAAUAAAAGCAAUUUCCGAUGAGCUUCCAGAUAAAAGUGGGAAACAGGAUUGUGGAAGCCAUAGAAAGGUCAUCUAUUCCAUAAUUCCUAAAACUCAGCUGAGUUGUGUUUAUUUCCUAGGGCUUUUCAGAAAGAAACAGAAGCUAUGAAUUAAGAUGCUUGGUGGAAGAAAUCUAAGCAGAAAAAUGUUCAGGGUACUGUGUAGGGCUUCUCUUACUUGGCUGUAGUAAAAUAGAAGAUGAGAAUAAAAGAUUUUAAGAUAGAGGUUAUAAUCAACAGAGAAGGAGACAGUAAAGAGUUGGAAAAUUGGCAGACUGGUUGUAUGAGAAAAGGUAUAUUCAGUAUAGGUAACCCAUGGUGGGGCUAAGGAACUCACUAUUUAGGAGCUUAAUAAGGAAGAAAGAAACUAGGUACCAUUCCUUAAAACAGUAGGAGAAUGAUCUUAAAAUAUUUUGGAGAUUUUCUUGAUGCACUAGAAAGUGGGAGGUAGAAGCUUGUGGUCUUUAGAUGACUGAUCCCUGAGGUUCCACAAAUAUCUUAGACGCUUUUUUUAAGCAAUUCCUUUGCCCUCUGGACAUGAGAUAAGUGUGGAAACAUAUGUGGUGUGUGUGUGUGUGUGUGUGUGUGUGUGUGUGUGUGUGUGUGUGUGUAUGUGUGUGUAUGAUCUACUGAGUCAAAAAUUAGUGCUAUCCAAAUGUGUAUGGGUAGUAAGCCUUUCAAUGGAGCAUGAUCAACCCACUAGAGGUAAUAUACCUGAAGAAAACUGAUUCUGACAACUUCUAGUCAACAUCUCCUUUACUAGAGAUGGAUCUCUCAACCCAUCCAUGCUGACAACCAGAACUGAGUUCCACAUUGCAGUAGCGUUGUUAUGUCUAGGAGAUACCAUUUGCUUGCUUUACAGCAGCGUUUGCCAACCUCUAGAUCUUAAAAUCUUUUAGACUUUAUCGCAGCACCCAAAUCCUCAGUAUCAAUUUUCUGUGUCAGUCAGACUUCCUUCUGACAAACACCCGAGAGGAACAAUGUUUAAACGUGGAUAUAUUUUGCCUCCUAAUUUGAGACAUUUUAGUUCUAGUGCAGCUGGAUCUAUUUGCAGUGAUCUUGAGGAAAGCCAGAGAGUCUGACAAUGGUGUAAACAUGUGGCUGACCCUGCUCAUUUCCUGGAAGCCAAGAAGUAGAGCGAGAAAGAAAAGCAAGACCAGGACCUGGGUUUACUUUCCAGCACCUACCUGGCAGCUCACAAUAGCUUGGUACUCCAGUUCCAGGGGAUGUAAUUCCCUCUUCUGACCUCUGAAAGUAUCAGACAAACAUGUGGCACACACAUGCAUGCAGUGGCACUAUUUUUCUAUAUUCUGGAAGCUUUACGAUGUACCUGCCAGAGUAAGAAGAUCACUAGCAGCACUGCAGCGUGCAUUUGAGGGAUGUAUUAUUUCUACCCUUCUGUCUUAUUCCAGCUUCCUGGCUAUCAUAAGUGCUCACUUUGAAGUUGGAAUGGCUAUGCUAUAUUUUCCACCAUUGCAUUUUGAAGAUACAUAACUUACUCGAUUUUACAAGCUCCAAGCUCGAGAGAAUUUUCAUCAGGAUGAUUCAUACCGGAAAUCGCAUUCAUACAGACAGUAUUUGAGAUAUAUGCUACAAAUAUGAUGGUAGAAUUAGUUCAGUUUUUCCAGGGAUAUUUACAUUUAAAAAAUAUAUAUAUUUUGUAUGUGAAGAGCACAUGCUUUUACGUGGUACAAGCACAGCAUUCUAUGCUUUGAAGAAACGCCCUCUAAAACUCCUGUGCUGUGCUCAGAGUAUGACCUUUCAGUGAUGAGCAGACAUAAAGUUUUCUCCCUGUUGUAUGAUAUGGUAUCAUGUGUCAUAAAAAGGAGUGAGGGGGAUGAUGGGGAUGUUUGGUGUUGUCUCCCUAUGUCCAAAUACCUUCCAUCAUGGAAAGGAACCGUUAAAAGGUCUUUUUCAUGCACUAGUGGCUUGGUUCUUGAUUUUCCAUUCUAAAAGAAGGAGAAGCUACAUUUCUAUUCUAUACAUCUCCCUAGCUUGUGAUAAAGACCUUGACCAAAAGCAACUUGGACAAGGAAGUGUUCAUUGGCUUCCAAAUCAGAGUUCUCCACUGAGUACAGUCAAACCAAUAAUUCAAGACGGGAACCAAGAUAUGGACCUGAAGGCGGGACCUUGACGGAGUGCUGCUCAUUGGCUUGCUCCUCAUGGCUAACUUUAUUUUCAUACAAUGCAUGACUACCUGUCCAAAUGAGGCACUGCUUACGGUAAGCCGUGUCCUCCCACAUUGAUAAUUAAUCAAGAAAACGCUUUUCACCACACACAUGCACACAUACAGAUUUGCUUCCAUGCCAAUAUGAUGUAGUAGUUUUUCAUUUGGGGUUCCCUCUUCCCACAUGACCCUAGUUUAUGUUAAGCUAGAAAAAAAAAAUCCAAAAACUAUCCGCCAGGGUGCUAUUUGAUGAUAGAUACAAAAUAUAGACUAAAAAAAAAAAAGGAUCCUGUUCAUUGUAAAACUCAGACUUACAUGUUAAGCAAUUAUUGUAAGCUUUAACAUUUUUCCAGUAAACACAUGAUUUUAUAAGGAAAAGUUCAGCUGUAAUGGAGGGAUGCUGAAGGAUAAAACAUUCUAAUGCAAUAAGGUAUAAUGCACAAAAGAGCCUAGCUAAUUUUCAAUGUAAUCUAUAUAAAAAUUCAAUGUGAUGUUUUGUUUUCUGUUGUUUCUAUAAAAUAAUAUCUACAUGUGCAUUAUAUAUAUGUAUGUGUACAUAUGUAUGUGCAUAUAUUUUUAAGUCUGCAAAACAUUUGUAGUUAAAGUAUA